UACGAGGGGGGCAAAUGUUGUUCGGAAUCACUGGGCGUAAAGGGAGCGUAGGCGGGUUUUUAAGUCAGGUGUUUAAUCCCGGGGCCCAACCCCGGACAGGCACUUGAAACUGGGAAUCUUGAAUAGUGGAGAGGUCAGUGGAAUUGGGGGUGUAGCGGUGGAAUGCGUAGAGAUCCCCAAGAACAUCCGUUGCGAAGGCGGCUGACUGGACACAUAUUGACGCUGAGGCUCGAAAGCAUGGGGAGCAAACAGG
rnacentral:rRNA from 1 species